UGGGGAAUUUUGGACAAUGGGCGAAAGCCUGAUCCAGCAAUGCCGCGUGUGUGAAGAAGGCCUUCGGGUUGUAAAGCACUUUUGUCCGGAAAGAAAUCCUUGGCUCUAAUACAGUCGGGGGAUGACGGUACCGGAAGAAUAAGCACCGGCUAACUACGUGCCAGCAGCCGCGGUAAUACGUAGGGUGCAAGCGUUAAUCGGAAUUACUGGGCGUAAAGCGUGCGCAGGCGGUUUGCUAAGACCGAUGUGAAAUCCCCGGGCUCAACCUGGGAAGCUGCAUUGGUGACUGGCAGGCUAGAGUAUGGCAGAGGGGGGUAGAAUUCCACGUGUAGCAGUGAAAUGCGUAGAGAUGUGGAGGAAUACCGAUGGCGAAGGCAGCCCCCUGGGCCAAUACUGACGCUCAUGCACGAAAGCGUGGGGAGCAAACGGAUU
rnacentral:rRNA from 1 species